UACAUGGAAGACAGAAGCAUACUGAAGAGCUGAAAUUCAUCCCGAUAAACUGACCUUAAUACUCUCAAAACAGGGGAGUGAGUUUGCUGAAAACUACAUAAUCACAACAGCAAGUUCUAAGGAGUUGUUCAGAAUACCAACAGUUACUGUAAUACACACCACCUGGAGAUCUGCACUGAGAGCCUGCAUACACAGCAGCAUGAAAUUACUCAAAAUGACUAUAACUAAAAGAAGAAGAAAAAUAUGAUAACACAAGUGAACAGAAUACUUCUUGCCCACAGCUGGGUUGAUUCUGACAGAUGAAAUUACCUUUAUCUGCAGUGCUUGGAUGACUUAAUGGAGUGCGCCGUCAGCAAGUUCUCUGAUGACACUAAACUGGGAGGAGUGGCUGUGCCAGAAUUUUAAGAUUGGAGUCUACUUGGAACACAUGAAGUUGAGGGAAAUUGGUAUUCAGCAGUGUGUUGUCACACCUGGUUACAACAGUGGCUACUUCUGAGCAAUGAAUGAGAUGCUUCAUCUCCCUGGGAACCCAUGUACCCUUCUGCUUUGAAAGGAGAGGCAGCCCAAGGAAAUUAAGGCCCUGAUGCCAUUCUUCUUGCAUUGUGCACGUGGUUUGUCAGCCUGGACUAAAAGGUGCACCGCUGUUUGAAUGCCAUGGAAAGCUACAUGGAAAAGCAGCGCCUCCAAGGAUGACUUCUGUGAUCACCCCUGUUAAGCACCUGCCCUCCCUCUUUGUCACCUUCGGCUGGCCCACCUGCCAGGUCUGGUUUUGUAUUUGAGGCUGUAGCUGUGCAUUGACUGUUCAUGGCCCUGUCUAUGGAGGUAGUGGUGGUGAGGGCACCUGUGAGUGAAAUGGUGGCAACAGCCCUGCUAUCUAACAUUUCUGUCUGAAGAAAUUGGACAUUGUUCUCAGUUAACGUAAUAAUAUCUGUCUACAGAUGACAUUUUAAAGUAACAAGAAUUAUGUUAACCUAGAAAAAGAAAAUGAAGUGAAUGCUUGCUGGGUAUUGUGUUGAUCGGUUGAGACCCUUUCAGUCUGUGCAAGCGUUUCUUCUCUGUGGCAUGAUAGGUUUCUCCUGAACCUUGUCCUUUCAUUUGUUUCAUUUUUUUAUCAAACUAUCAUUCGUGAAAGCAAUCUGGCAAAUAUGAUACAAUACAGACCGACUUGUGGUGUUCCAUCAGAUCAGAUAGAUGAUGCCCAUUUCAAUUUCUGUGUGUGCCGAAGUUGAAGCCCAGUAACAUCAUUUUAUCUGCUAGCGUUUAUAUGUUUACAUUUCCAGACUGUUUUAGCAGAAGUGCCUGGCUAUUUGGGGAUAAUGCAACCUGCUUGUGCUGUGUACAGUGCAUGAAAAAAUCCACAAGCACAGGGCUUCCUGUCGAAAGGAUUUGGACAUCACCAGCCUGACACCAGAGCGUUGGAGCCACAUCCCUGGAGGAUUUUCUUUGAAGUAUCCAAAAAGAUUUACAGGGGGCCUGUGGUCUGAACACUUCCAGUGUGGUGAAGUAUAAGAAACCAGAAACCAGUCAUGGUAAGAAAAAAUACUUCCUAAACCUCUAUUGUUGUUGUUUUAAAUUUUAUACGAGUUAUAUUACUUUGUUUUCUAUUGCUGGGUGCAUUGAAUAUCAACCCUUCCACAUUUUUUGGCAGGACGCUUCAUCUGUGGCAAACAAUAACCCUCCUGUUCUCCCCAUAUCUUUAAUAAUUAUCGUUUGAAAGGUUUUUGCAAUGAGAAAAUGAGAGAGUAUUUCAGUUUUUCCGCACACUUUUUUAAUAGCUUGAAGAAUUAUCCAGGAGAAGAAAUGGUUGCUGUAAUUGGCCUAGAACUAAUGAAAGAAGAGCUUUGAUGAAACAUAUUGAUAUUUACCAUAGUCUGCCCACAGAAGCAAUUUUCUUCAUUAAUUCUUUUUUCUUUAAAUUCAAAUUAAUCUUGGGAUAGUAAAUAUUAAAUGCUCUCCACUUAGAAGGAAUGGAAUUUGUCACAGAGCAGUGGCACUGUGGCAUUUGUAGAGACUUUUCCAUCACUAAGGGAUAAUCGGCUUAAUGACGGUGUGAACAGAUUGCUAACUGCUGUGGUGGGCUUUCUGGGCUGGAGGGAGGAGGCUGAAGUCUGGCAAUGUCAGCGGGUAGCUGGCAAGAAAGUACGUUUGGUUUCUGUACCAAAUGUCAUGACAUUUCUGUUUUGUCUUUAUUUUUCUUGUGGGCUCUUGUUCUGAGCAGCAGCUUUAUUGCAGAACGCCAUUGUAUCACAUCGAAGCUGUUUAUGGUAUGUGAGAGCGUGGUCUGGGUGCACUGAAAGGCUCCCUGCUCACUCAGAGCUCAAACACAGGGUGGCAGGACUGCCUUUGUACACUUACAGGCACGUGCUGGAGCCUGCCAGCUGCCGGCUUUAUUCUGUGUCCCCGAUUGUACGGGGUGUGUCUGUGUAUGGCCAAGUGGGCAUGUUUUCUUUUCAAGGAAUGCUUGUAUGCAACUAGUGCAAUUAAAAUUGUUAAACAUCAUUAGCGAUUCUGCAGCAGCCUUGUCUGAUGCUGCAGAACUAACAUCUGCUCCAAUUUUAGGCUACUAGCUUCAGGAAGCCACAGAUAAAUAACUCUGCAGUAGACCUGGGAAAUGGGAACGUGUGUAGACCACCUUGCUCUGCCACUAUCUGAGGUAAAGACAGAGACUCAAAAUCAAACCCAUGUACCCAGGGCUGCUUGGCAGAUGCACCCUGUGGCUUGCCAGCAUGACAAAAAUUAGGGUGCUUGUGAAGUACAAGAGGGUUUUAUCAUACUGGGGUUACUGAUGCCAAGUUUCCACUGGUUUAAAAUGUGAUUGGUGACAUUCCUACUUAAAAACACUUCUCUAAAAUAAGUACAAAGUUAUGUAGUUCUGCUCCUAAAAAAAAAAAAAAAAAAAAAAAAAAAAGUGGAAAUUGUCUGGAAAUUGUAUUCAAGUAACUGUGCUAAAUGUGGGGAAUGUUACGGUCUUAAAUCAUUGGCAAUUAUUUAAAGUGGUGUUUUCCUCUGUACUUUCCUAUGAUACAUAUUGCCAGCCUUUUUAUAAGUUCUGUUAGACCCUCAAAAUGAAAGCAACCUUAUUCAAAGAUUAUUAGGUUGAUGCAUCCUUCCAUAUGGUGGCAAGUGUCUGUGCAGUAGUAAGGAGUGAAGUAACCCUGAGUAAUUUUCCAGCCUUCUAAGGAAAUCUUCUGUAACAAGUGUGGAGAAGGCAAAGAACCUAAAAGAAGCAAGCACAGGUGAAUUCCUAAUCACAGCGGAGCAGAAGUUAUAGUGCAAGCUCUGAGCAGGUAGGAAUUUGUUUUUAAUACGGGUCUUGUCAUGUUUGUGAAAUAGCCUGCUUGCUUCUGACACUUCAACCCCACCUCCUUUCUGCUGGCUGUAGAGCAAAUGCAGCACCUGCUUUGUACAUACCCUAAAAGUGAGUAAUGAUGUGGGAGCACAGAUGGAUGAAUACGCAGACUGGUCCUGAGCUGCAGGUGCUGAGCUUGGUGUUAUCAGCACCUUUAACAUAGUUUUAAAUAUUUGUUGUAUUAAAAUGUGGAUAGAUAUUGCACUUGUGGGAUUAGGUGAAGCUCAGUAGGACUUCUGAUCUGACACUGCCUUCCUCUCCCUACAACAGUGGAGCUACUAGACAGUCCCUGUGGCAGAGGUUUUAAAUACACCCAAGCACUGCACAGGGGAAACAGUGAGGUAUCAUCCAGAGAACUGGAAGGGUGAUGGAAAUUUAACUGAGCGCAUUUUCUUUUCUUUUAGAUUUAUGGUAUAUAAGACAGAUAUUAGAAUAUGCAAUCAACCCUGAGUUUCUAGAAUUAUGAUAUAUUUCUUUCCUCGGAAUACGUUUCCGAAUGAACUGUUAGCAUAACUUCAGAGGUCCUUGAGGUAUUUAAUAUACAUAUGUAUUAAUUUAACAAGUGGUU